GACGUGCCAACAAGCACAGAAGCCUCAACUAAUGAAGAGAUCGGCGUGAUCAUGAGGACCAUUGCUCUUCUAGUCGCUUUGUGCUUCCUGAUUGUCAUCGUGCACAGCAACUCAAAGAAAUGUCCUAAAAAUAAGGAGUACGCCUGUGUAAAAGGUACAAACUGCCCCUCUGAACUGCGCACAAAUAACGGCACUUGCAAGGGAAAGGACAGGGUGUGCUGCGAUGUUCGAAAGAAACACACCUGUCUUCUCUUUGGUGGAAGCUGCAAAACUAACACAACGAGAUGUCAUACGCUGAAGAAGGCAAGCAUGCUCUGCGGUAAAAAUAUGAAAUGCUGCAUAUACCUGGAGUAGCAACACACAUCUGCAACGCCUAAUUCCUCAAUGUAAUUUCAACGCAUCGCGGAAGAGUCGCAAAUAUAUACCGCCUUGCCACUACCAGUCACUAAUUCUGACGUAAUCCAAGCAUGAUCGGCAUAAAAUUAGAAGGAUCAGCAGCCUGCUUUCCAAAACAUCUUUUUACGAACGGGUCACCUUGGCUUCUUUUUUAUUUUUGUGAGGCUUCCUAGGAAUGCGAGAAUGGAUAUUUAAAAUAAACGCUGCG
rnacentral:lncRNA from 1 species